rnacentral:rRNA from 2 species
GCGAGCCCACCUCCCACCCGUGUUUACUGUACCUUAGUUGCUUCGGCGGGCCCGCCAUUCAUGGCCGCCGGGGGCUCUCAGCCCCGGGCCCGCGCCCGCCGGAGACACCACGAACUCUGUCUGAUCUAGUGAAGUCUGAGUUGAUUGUAUCGCAAUCAGUUAAAACUUUCAACAAUGGAUCUCUUGGUUCCGGCAUCGAUGAAGAACGCAGCGAAAUGCGAUAACUAGUGUGAAUUGCAGAAUUCCGUGAAUCAUCGAGUCUUUGAACGCACAUUGCGCCCCCUGGUAUUCCGGGGGGCAUGCCUGUCCGAGCGUCAUUGCUGCCCAUCAAGCACGGCUUGUGUGUUGGGUCGUCGUCCCCUCUCCGGGGGGGACGGGCCCCAAAGGCAGCGGCGGCACCGCGUCCGAUCCUCGAGCGUAUGGGGCUUUGUCACCCGCUCUGUAGGCCCGGCCGGCGCUUGCCGAACGCAAAUCAAUCUUUUCCAGGUUGACCUCGGAUCAGGUAGGGAUACCCGCUGAACUUAAGCAUAUC